GGCUCUGUCCCCAGCUUCCAGCUCUUUCAACCUUCUGGGCCUCGACUCUGCCCUAAGGAGAGGCUGAGGACCAGAGCAGCAGGGGAGUCGUGACCCCCAGGGGCUCAGUAGAGCAUGAGCCUGGCCAUUGCCAAGCGGCCCGCCCAUGCGUGCUGUGGUUACACGGUCUUCAUGCUGGCUGGGGAGCCCCGAGAACUCGGGUUUGGUUCGUCCUCCAAACACGUGAACACGUGUUGAGCACUGACUGUGAAUGCGGCAGCUGUGAUGGGGGCUGAACUCAGGGCCAAGGAGCCAGGCUCUACUCCACUGUGACACCAGGUGUGGGGCUCGGUGCAGAGCCACACUUUGAACCUGAGAGACUGGCUGAGCUGGAUGAUUCUCAAAGUGCGCUCUGCGGACCAGCAGCAGCACCACCAGUAGCAGCAUCACCCGGGAACUCAAAGGAAAUGCAGGUUCUCUGGCCUCUGCCGAAUGCACUGAAUCAGAAUCUGCAUUUUAACAAGAUCCCCAGCUACAACCGCACAAAAGAGCCUGAACGAGAAACACUGGCUGAGCCCAGUCAACCCUGGAACCAGAAGAGAUGCUAAUGCCAUCCAGCCCUGAGAUUUGUUUGGAGGGUGACGCGGCCAAGGAUGACACCCACUGCCCCAGAGGCUGGGGGACUGGCAGGUAUAUCUUAGGGUUUGGGGGUGGGAGUGAAGGUCAUCCUGAGGAGAGUCCUUUUUGAGUGUGUUAAGGUGUCUGUGUCCAUGUGGACGGGCUGUCAGAAUGGGCUGGGGGAUGCGGUCAGGGACCACUCCCAUUCCCAGGGCCUGGGUGUCCUGACCAUCCAUGCUAGGUCUGUUCCACGUUGGCCACACUGUUCCAGGCAAGCGCCUUUGGUCACACGGACUGGUCUCUGAGACUGGUCUGAUGUGUGUACUCUCAGGAGCCUGGACAGGGGCAGUCUCAAUCCAGAAAUGACCUCUUCAAUACUUGGUGUAGUUCCCUGUAUGAAACGCCCAAUAUUAUGAGCCACCCAGGCCUGGGUCACCUGCUGACUGGCUGGAGGAAGUGCAUGGGACCAUGUGAGGUCACGGCAGCCCCAGGGUUUGCAGGUCGUCUGCAUCCUGGCUCCCCCGCUUACAAGCUGUUUGACCUUGGUGAGGUUAGAUCAUCUUCCUAAGCUUCAGUUUCUUCAGCCACACAAUAGGUACAACACUUACCCUUGAGGGUUACUGCGAUUGUCACACAAGGCAGCAUUUGCAUGGGCCCUGGGCCAUGCUAGACAUUCAUCAGGCACUGAAGCUAUGGGGGAGAGAAGUGAGGGGCCCAGGCUCUGGAGCCAGUGGGUUUAAACUCCACUCUACCACUAACAAGACAUUAUUAAAAACUUCUGUGCGCCUCCAUUUCCUCAUCUGUAACAUGGGGAUAAUAAUAGCACCUGCCUCCUGGCUUGUUGAGAGGAUAUAUGUAGUGCUUACAACAGCACAACACACAUAUAUGGGUACUUCACAAAUACAAAUCCAUUCAAGGAAACCAACCCUGGUGCCCGCAGAAGCCGAAGCCAGCUUAGGACAAGCAGAGGGGCCCAGGCCUGCCCCUCGGUUCCGGGGGCCUCACUUCUGUUCCAGGGCUGUUCAGUUACCUGCUCCUAGGCCUGGGAGGCCCAGUGGACAACAGAGUGACCUCUUCUCCACUGAUUUGAUCUGAAUACAUUCUGCCCCAUGAGGGCCCAAAUGAGGGAACUGGUAUGAUAUUCACAGAGAGGUGACAUCACCCGCUGAAGAUCACACAGCAAGUCCCUGGGCCACCUGGAUCCCGGCCACAGCUCCACCCUGC